CCUUCGGUGCCCAUGGCGAGGAGGAAACACCUGUUCUCAUCCCGAACACAGAAGUUAAGCUCCCCAGCGGCGAUUAUACUGCGAAAGUGGGAAACUAGCACGGUGCCGAAU
rnacentral:rRNA from 1 species